rnacentral:rRNA from 1 species
UACGAAGGGGGCUAGCGUUGCUCGGAAUCACUGGGCGUAAAGGGUGCGUAGGCGGGUCUUUAAGUCAGGGGGGAAAUCCUGGAGCUCAACUCCAGAACCGCCUUUGAUACUGGCGAUCUCGAGUCCGGGAGAGGUGAGUGGAACUGCGAGUGUAGAGGUGAAAUUCGUAGAUAUUCGCAAGAACACCAGUGGCGAAGGCGGCUCACUGGCCCGGUACUGACGCUGAGGUGCGAAAGCGUGGGGAGCAAACAGG